rnacentral:rRNA from 1 species
UGGGGAAUAUUGCACAAUGGGCGCAAGCCUGAUGCAGCCAUGCCGCGUGUAUGAAGAAGGCCUUCGGGUUGUAAAGUACUUUCAGCGAGGAGGAAGGCAUUAAGGUUAAUAACCUUGGUGAUUGACGUUACUCGCAGAAGAAGCACCGGCUAACUCCGUGCCAGCAGCCGCGGUAAUACGGAGGGUGCAAGCGUUAAUCGGAAUUACUGGGCGUAAAGCGCACGCAGGCGGUUUGUCAAGUCGGAUGUGAAAGCCCCGGGCUCAACCUGGGAACUGCAUUCGAAACUGGCAGGCUAGAGUCUUGUAGAGGGGGGUAGAAUUCCAGGUGUAGCGGUGAAAUGCGUAGAGAUCUGGAGGAAUACCGGUGGCGAAGGCGGCCCCCUGGACAAAGACUGACGCUCAGGUGCGAAAGCGUGGGGAGCAAACA